rnacentral:rRNA from 1 species
UACGUAGGGCGCGAGCGUUGUCCGGAAUUAUUGGGCGUAAAGAGCUCGUAGGCGGCUUGUCACGUCGGGUGUGAAAGACCGGGGCUUAACCCGGGAAUUGCGUUCGAUACUUCGAGGCUAGAGUGUGGGAGAGGUUGGUGGAAUUCCCAGUGUAGAGGUGAAAUUCGUAGAUAUUGGGAAGAAUACCGGUGGCGAAGGCGGUUCUCUGGGCCUUACCUGACGCUGAGGAGCGAAAGCGUGGGGAGCGAACAGG